rnacentral:tRNA from 1 species
GGGGGUGUAGCUCAGUGGUAGAGCAUUCGGCUGCAGAUCGGGAGGUCCCCGGCUCAAACCCGGGUGCCCCCA